rnacentral:rRNA from 1 species
AGCGGCAGCACGGGUACUUGUACCUGGUGGCGAGCGGCGGACGGGUGAGUAAUGCCUAGGAAUCUGCCUGGUAGUGGGGGAUAACGCUCGGAAACGGACGCUAAUACCGCAUACGUCCUACGGGAGAAAGCAGGGGACCUUCGGGCCUUGCGCUAUCAGAUGAGCCUAGGUCGGAUUAGCUAGUUGGUGAGGUAAUGGCUCACCAAGGCGACGAUCCGUAACUGGUCUGAGAGGAUGAUCAGUCACACUGGAACUGAGACACGGUCCAGACUCCUACGGGAGGCAGCAGUGGGGAAUAUUGGACAAUGGGCGAAAGCCUGAUCCAGCCAUGCCGCGUGUGUGAAGAAGGUCUUCGGAUUGUAAAGCACUUUAAGUUGGGAGGAAGGGCAGUUACCUAAUACGUGAUUGUUUUGACGUUACCGACAGAAUAAGCACCGGCUAACUCUGUGCCAGCAGCCGCGGUAAUACAGAGGGUGCAAGCGUUAAUCGGAAUUACUGGGCGUAAAGCGCGCGUAGGU